rnacentral:rRNA from 1 species
UACAGAGGGGGCAAGCGUUAUUCGGAAUUAUUGGGCGUAAAGGGCGCGUAGGCGGCUUUGCAAGUGGCGGGUGAAAUCCCUCGGCUUAACCGAGGAACUGCCUGUCAGACUGUGAGGCUUGAGACCGGGAGAGGUGAGUGGAAUUCCCAGUGUAGCGGUGAAAUGCGUAGAUAUUGGGAGGAACACCAGUGGCGAAGGCGGCAUCCUGGACCGGCAUUGACGCUGAGGCGCGAAAGCUAGGGGAGCAAACGGG